ACCAGGCCGAAGAACGACGUCGUGAACAACAACGCGCACAGCAAGAACGGCAGCAGGAUCUUCUGUUGACUAGACCCGAAGCACGACAACAGCUCUCUAGUCUACAGGAGAGUACCGUCGAGGAGGUACUGACUAGUUGCGACCUGAAUCAUGAAGAAC
rnacentral:ribozyme from 1 species